rnacentral:rRNA from 1 species
AUUGAACGCUGGCGGCAGGCCUAACACAUGCAAGUCGAGCGGAUGACGGGAGCUUGCUCCUUGAUUCAGCGGCGGACGGGUGAGUAAUGCCUAGGAAUCUGCCUGGUAGUGGGGGACAACGUUUCGAAAGGAACGCUAAUACCGCAUACGUCCUACGGGAGAAAGCAGGGGACCUUCGGGCCUUGCGCUAUCAGAUGAGCCUAGGUCGGAUUAGCUAGUUGGUGGGGUAAUGGCUCACCAAGGCGACGAUCCGUAACUGGUCUGAGAGGAUGAACAGUCACACUGGAACUGAGACACGGUCCAGACUCCUACGGGAGGGAGCAGUGGGGAAUAUUGGACAAUGGGCGAAAGCGUGAUCCAGCCAUGCCGCGUGUGUGAAGAAGGUCUUCGGAUUGUAAAGCACUUUAAGUUGGGAGGAAGGGCAGUAAGUUAAUACCUUGCUGUUUUGACGUUACCGACAGAAUAAGCACCGGCUAACUCUGUGCCAGCCGCCGCCGUAA